rnacentral:rRNA from 1 species
CCUACGGGAGGCAGCAGUAGGGAAUCUUCCACAAUGGGCGAAAGCCUGAUGGAGCAACGCCGCGUGGGUGAAGAAGGUCUUCGGAUUGUAAAACCCUGUCGUCAGAGAAGAAAGUGCGGGAGAGUAACUGUUCACGUUUCGACGGUAUCUACCCAGAAAGCCACGGCUAACUACGUGCCAGCAGCCGCGGUAAUACGGAGGUGGCAAGCGUUAUCCGGAUUUACUGGGCGUAAAGGGAACGCAGGCGGUCUUUUAAGUCUGAUGUGAAAGCCUUGGGCUUAACCGGAGUAGUGCAUUGGAAACUGGGAGGCUUGAGUGCAGAAGAGGAGAGUGGAACUCCAUGUGUAGCGGUGAAAUGCGUAGAUAUUUGGAAGAACACCAGUGGCGAAGGCGGCUCUCUGGUCUGUAACUGACGCUGAGGUUCGAAAGCGUGGGUAGCAAACAGGAUUAGAUACCCUUGUAGUC